rnacentral:piRNA from 1 species
UGCACAAGUAUUCUUCCUACCUACCAAG